AGCAGCUGCGAUAAGACCGAAUCAUUUUUAAAUCAAACAAACCGCUAUAAAUUUUUGGGGGUAAUAUUUUUUCUUUGUUUUGAUGAUUGAAAUUGGCAGUUGAGGAUGAUUUUGGGAUGGUGUUGUGUUGAUCUUGGUGAGAUAUAAUACCAACGUGAAAGAUGCGGUGUUUGUAAUUUAAACAUGAUGACCUUUUUUUGAUAAAUUUCUGCAAAGCCAGGAUUUGGGGAGAUAGGUCUACCACGACCGACAGGUUCACAAUGAACGGAUGGAAGUCUCAACGCCUGCGUAUGAAACAGACUCCAAAGCCAUCAGCAAAACCAAGCAGCACCAGAUGUCGCAUUAAUGAUGGUGAAGUCAGUUUCUAGGAAGACACAGAAAACGACUCGUGUGAUCUGCACAGAAAGAGGAUGAAGAAAAACAAUUAGUUCAAAAGAACACUCUGUGUGCUCAAUAAAAGAGUAACUAAGCAGAACAUUUUGGAUAUUGAAACUUUGUGCAAUAGCAAGACACAAUCAUCUUCGUUCAGGAGUCUGAUUAGGUACCAUCCCUUUUGAGACCACCCGAAUUAGACAUUUGAGAGUGCUUGGAGCAAAUAGUGAGCACAUAACCAGAAUUAGCAUUACCAAAUGGGUGCACGUUACAGCAGAGCAAUAUCCUGUAAGAUCACAAAAGGAAUGAGCAAUUUCGACUGUUUUCACUGAGCAUGCAAUUUACUAAAUUAAAAUGGCAAAAACAUGUUUUUACUUCACAUGUGGGGGCAAUGAAGCGAUAAUUACAUUGAUAUUGGUAUCUUUAAAAAGGUAUACCUGCUUGAACACUAAAACGUGUUCAUCUUUACCUUUUCAACUUACAGCAGUGACCAACGGUCAAAGGAAAAAGUAUGGACGCAGAUGUAAGAAUAUAAUAAAGGCAUAAAGUGAGCCCAAUAAAAUGCUGACUGCCAAGUGUCGCACAUUAUUGCCUGUGAUAGUUGAAGUCGAAAGUGGACUGUAAUGAUGUGCAGUUGGGGGAAAAAUGAAGAGAAUGGAAUACUGGGUAACAGAAUUGUGUCUUUACAGGAAAAAAAAAACUCAAGACAGAACAUUGCUGAGGUUUUUGAAGUUCUGCUCUCUGA